rnacentral:rRNA from 1 species
GGGGCCUUUACCACAUGCAAAGUCGAGCGGAGUAUGUGGUGCUUGCACCAAUACUUAGCGGCGGACGGGUGAGUAAUGCUUAGGAAUCUGCCUAUUAGUGGGGGACAACAUCUCGAAAGGGAUGCUAAUACCGCAUACGCCCUACGGGGGAAAGCAGGGGAUCUUCGGACCUUGCGCUAAUAGAUGAGCCUAAGUCGGAUUAGCUAGCUGGUGGGGUAAAGGCCUACCAAUG